rnacentral:tRNA from 1 species
GACGGUUUGGCCGAGUGGUCUAAGGCGCCAGAUUUAGGCUCUGGUCCGAAAGGGCGUGGGUUCAAAUCCCGCAGCCGUCA